rnacentral:lncRNA from 1 species
CCCGCCCCGCCCUUGCCCGCACAGGUGUGGCACCCGCCCGCCCCGCCGCACGGAGCCGCCUGCCCGCGGCCACACGCCAGGCGUCACUCGGGCUGGCGCCGGUCUACCUAGGCAGGCGUGGGACCUGUCGGGGGCUUCACGGCAGCGCGGAAGGCCAGCCUGCAGAGAGGCUGGGCCCAGCGCCCUGACUGACCCAGCCCCGCCACGUCCAAGGUUCCCGCCCUCUGGAGGAAGCCGCGCAAUCACUCCGGGGGCGGGGAGAGACAGACAACUGAGAGGAAGGAGGUACCACGGGCACUCUCUCGCGAGAGGGCCGCAGAGCCGCCUUUGACGGGGGCGUGUACCUGGAGAGCAACGGAGCCUAUGAGGUUGGUCCUAUUUUUACUCUCACUUAUCCCUACUUACCAGAUGAGGAUCCUGAGGCUCAGAAAAACUCUUGACAAAAUUCUCAGGGAAAACUCUUCAGCUCUGGAUGUCUCCCUUUUUGUGGAUCAAACACAAAGGGCAUCAUUCUAAAAUAUAUACAGAACCAUAAAAGCCCCAAAUAGCCAAAGCAACCCUGAGCAAAAAGAACAAGGCUGGAAGCAUCACACUACCAGACUUCAAAAUUUACUACAAAGCUCUAAUACCUAAA